AUGCCCUCAGAGGGGAAGCGAGGAGGCGGGGCCGGAGGCCUGGCGAAUGUACGCUUCCAAGGCCACCCUCGAGAGGUGAAGCCACUCCCACUGGUUGCCUGGAGGCGCCCACAUCUUUUGCCAGGAGGGGCCACACAAAAGGAAGGGAGUUUGUUCAGGAACAUUGUAAAGAACUCUGUGUGCCCCAGGGGUCCUCCUUCAUCACAGCCGGGGAGUAUGACGCCACAAUUUAACAUGCAGAAGCUGGUAAUCUAGGACCUACGUGUGAACAACUUUAUAUGAAUAUUUUUUGUACUUGGUUUACUUGGGUUGGUAUGAUACAUUAUAUUUAAGUUCCUUGAACACUGUGGAUCCCCCUAAUGUGUAUGAAUGACUGAGGCUUUGUAAAUUAAGGGACGUUUGUGUGAAUAAAGUUAUUUGAUGGGGUCAAAGAAGCCAUACGUGAUUUGAAAA